GUGCUCGCUUGAGCAACAUGUGUACUAAAAUUAGAACAAUACAGAGAAGAUUAGCAUGGCCCUGUGCUAGGACGACACGCAAAUUCAGGGAGCCUUCCCGUAUUUUA